rnacentral:rRNA from 1 species
AUUGAACGCUGGCGGCAGGCCUAACACAUGCCAGUCGAGCGGAUGAAGGGAGCUUGCUCCUGGAUUCAGCGGCGGACGGGUGAGUAAUGCCUAGGAAUCUGCCUGGUAGUGGGGAUAACGUCCGGAAACGGGCGCUAAUACCGCAUACGUCCUGAGGGAGAAAGUGGGGGAUCUUCGGACCUCACGCUAUCAGAUGAGCCUAGGUCGGAUUAGCUAGUUGGUGGGGUAAAGGCCUACCAAGGCGACGAUCCGUAACUGGUCUGAGAGGAUGAUCAGUCACACUGGAACUGAGACACGGUCCAGACUCCUACGGGAGGCAGCAGUGGGGAAUAUUGGACAAUGGGCGAAAGCCUGAUCCAGCCAUGCCGCGUGUGCGAAGAAGGUCUUCGGAUUGUAAAGCACUUUAAGUUGGGAGGAAGGGCAGUAAGUUAAUACCUUGCUGUUUUGACGUUACCAACAGAAUAAGCACCGGCUAACUUCGUG